UAUUUUCAUCAUCAAUCUUGACUCCAAUAGUUUCGAAAUCAUAAACAAUAUCAUUUAGAACACUUAGAUGAUCAAAUACUUUUGUAUUUUCAUCCAUCCGUAAUGAAAAUGCUCCUUCAACAACAACCGGUUUAAAAUACUCUUUCCUUGAUAUAUCUCUUCAUGUUUCUCCCAAAGCGCUUUGGCUAACAACUUACCAAAGAAUAUUCU
rnacentral:lncRNA from 1 species